rnacentral:rRNA from 1 species
GUUAAACGGCCGCGGUAUUUUGACCGUGCAAAGGUAGCGCAAUCACUUGUCUUUUAAAUGAAGACCUGUAUGAAUGGUGAAACGAGGGCUUAACUGUCUCCCCCUUCUAGUCAAUGAAAUUGAUCUACCCGUGCAGAAGCGGAUAUAAUAAUACAAGACGAGAAGACCCUUUGGAGCUUAAGAUAAAAGACCAAUUAUGUCAAAAGUCCUAAACAAGACUAAACCAAAUAAUGCUGGUCCUAAUCUUCGGUUGGGGUGACCACGGGAGAAAACAAAACUCCCAUGCGGAUUGGGGAUUCCCUAAAACUAAGAAAGACAUCUCUAAGACACAGAACAUCUGACCAUAAAGAUCCGGCUACCCGACCAACGGACCAAGUUACCCUAGGGAUAACAGCGCAAUCCCCUUCCAGAGUCCAUAUCGACAAGGGGGUUUACGACCUCGAUGUUGGAUCAGGACAUCCUAAUGGUG